CCUACGGGAGUCAGCCGUGAGGCAUAUUGGUCAAUGGGCGCGAGCCUGAACCAGCCAAGUAGCGUGCAGGAUGACUGCCCUACGGGUUGUAAACUUCUUUUAUAAAGGAAUAAAGUGAGGCACGUGUGCCUUUUUGUAUGUACUUUAUGAAUAAGGAUCGGCUAACUCCGUGCCAGCAGCCGCGGUAAUACGUCGGCUCAUAGCGUUAUCCGGAUUUAUUGGGUUUAAAGUGAGCGUAGAUGGGUUGUUAAGUCAGUUGUGAAAGUUUGCGGCUCAACCGUAAAAUUGCAAUUGAUACUGGCAGUCUUGAGUACAGUUGAGGUAGGCGGAAUUCGUGGUGUAGCAGUGAAAUGCUUAGAUAUCACGAAGAACUCCGAUUGCGAAGGCAGCUUACUAAACUGCCACUGACAUUGAUGCUCGAAAGUGUGGGUAUCAAACAGGAGUAGAUAUCCUAGUAGUC
rnacentral:rRNA from 1 species